AUGAGGGAAGCUUGCUUCCCAAUUUAGCGGCGGACGGGUGAGUAAUGCCUAGGAAUCUGCCUAUUAGUGGGGGAUAACGUUCCGAAAGGAACGCUAAUACCGCAUACGUCCUACGGGAGAAAGUGGGGGAUCUUCGGACCUCACGCUAAUAGAUGAGCCUAGGUCGGAUUAGCUAGUUGGUGGGGUAACGGCUCACCAAGGCGACGAUCCGUAGCUGGUCUGAGAGGAUGAUCAGCCACACUGGAACUGAGACACGGUCCAGACUCCUACGGGAGGCAGCAGUGGGGAAUAUUGGACAAUGGGCGAAAGCCUGAUCCAGCCAUGCCGCGUGUGUGAAGAAGGUCUUCAGAUUGUAAAGCACUUUAAGUUGGGAGGAAGGGUUGUAAGCUAAUAUCUUGCAGCUUUGACGUUACCAACAGAAUAAGCACCGGCUAACUCUGUGCCAGCAGCCGCGGUAAUACAGAGGGUGCAAGCGUUAAUCGGAAUUACUGGGCGUAAAGCGCGCGUAGGCGGCUUAGUAAGUUGGAUGUGGAAGCCCCGGGCUCAACCUGGGAACUGCAUCCAAAACUGCUUGGCUAGAGUACAGUAGAGGGUGGUGGAAUUUCCUGUGUAGCGGUGAAAUGCGUAGAUAUAGGAAGGAACACCAGUGGCGAA
rnacentral:rRNA from 1 species